AUUGAACGCUGGCGGCAGGCUUAACACAUGCAAGUCGAGCGGGGGAGGUUGCUUCGGUAACUGACCUAGCGGCGGACGGGUGAGUAAUGCUUAGGAAUCUGCCUAUUAGUGGGGGACAACAUUCCGAAAGGGAUGCUAAUACCGCAUACGCCCUACGGGGGAAAGCAGGGGAUCUUCGGACCUUGCGCUAAUAGAUGAGCCUAAGGCGGAUUAGCUAGUUGGUGGGGUAAAGGCCUACCAAGGCGACGAUCUGUAGCGGGUGUGAGAGGGUGGUCGGCGACACUGGGACUGAAACACGGCCCAGACUCCUGCGGGAGGCAGCAGUGGGGAAUAUUGGACAAUGGGCGGAAGCCUGAUCCAGCCAUGCCGCGUGUGUGAAGAAGGCCUUUUGGUUGUAAAGCACUUUAAGCGAGGAGGAGGCUCUUAAGGUUAAUACCCUUGAUGAGUGGACGUUACUCGCAGAAUAAGCACCGGCUAACUCUGUGCCAGCCGCCGCAGUAACAC
rnacentral:rRNA from 1 species